UGGCCAGAAAGGAAAGAGACCCUCCCAGGCUUUCUCAUCUUUAAUGUGUGUCUUCACAGAGCCGUGUACAGCUUCCAUAGUGGUUUAACAGAUUGUCAAUUCUCAAAGCUAAUUACUGAUUGGGUGUUUUUGACAGACAUGGAGGAAACUGCUAGCAGCUUCUUUUCGGACAUCCCUUCCAUGAUGCAAUACCACCACAACAGCACAGAGCACAGAGCUCCUUUGUCCAUAUGUAAUGCUCAUGUGCCCAAGGUUUCAGAACCCCUCCUUGGGAGAUCUCCGGGCCCUCUCCAAGGUGUUUUCAAAUGGAAACAUUCAGCUCAUGGUCUAAGAAAAUCACCAGAGGGCAGGGCCAGCCUGACCUGUCUGUUCUGGUUACUUUUGUCUAGGAGCAAUCUUUGGAUAUACAGAAUUUGGGAGGCCAAAUUCUAAUUUUGGCCAUGGGCCCUGGACAUGAAAAUGGGUUCUUUUCCUAAGGAAUGAAGGAACAUAGCUCCAUUGUUUCAGGGGCAGAUGAGAGCUGACCACCAGAGGCCAAGGCCAGCCAGAGCUGGCAGGUUUUUUUUCUGAGAGAUGCCCUUGCAUAUUGGAAAAUUUUUUAGGGAAAGUAUCAGUUUUGCCAAUGGGCAUCUGAAAAGAGGGAUGGUUCUUUUCAUAGCAAGGAAAGCAUGGAGCUCCAGUGUUCCAGGAGCUGAUGAGAGGCAGCCCUUGACAUCCCAAGAUCAGCCAGACCUAUCAGGUGGCCCCUGGGAGGCCAAGCCAGCCAGACCUGUUCCAUGUUCCCUUGGUUCGAUGGGGCCCUGACGUGUCAUAAUGUCCCCUUGGUGACACGAGGUCAUGAAGGGUGCUCAUGAUCUCCAUGGUUCCAUCAGGUCCCACAGAGUCAUAAUGGUCUCUGGGUUUCAUGAAGCCCCGCUGUGUCACCACAGCCCCUUGGUUCCAUGGGCUCCAGUGGUGCCACAAUGAUCCCCUUGGUUUCGUGAGGUCCCCACAAUAUCCCAGUGAUCUCCAUGGGAAGGAAAGAACCGACCCCCAGCGUUGCAGGGGCAGUCACCAGAGGCCAAGGCUUGAUGGUACUGGCAGAUUUUGCCUGGAAGCAACCCUUGGAUAUACAGAAUUUUAGAGGUGGAAUCCCAGUUUCAGACAUGGACACCUGGGGGAGAAGCACAGUUGUUUUCCAUAGGAAGGAAAGCACAGAACAGAGGUGUUUCCAGGGCAGAUGAAAGGCAGCCAUCAGAGGCCUAGGACAGCCAGACCUCUCUGUCCUGGUAGCUUUUGUCUGAAAGCAACCCUUGGAUAUAGCAAAUUUGGGAGGUGGAAUCCAAAUUUCGGCCAUUUCUGUGUAGAUAAGAAGGAUGGUUCUUUUCCAUGGGAAGGAAAGCACAGAGCCCAAGAGUUUCAAAGGCAGAAGAGGAGAGAGGUGGCUCUCGGGAGGCCAAGCCAGCCAGACAUGUUUGUCCUGGCAGCUUUUGUCAUGGAGGAAUCCUUGGAUAUAUGGAAUUUGGGAGGAAGAAUCUCAAUUUUGUCCACGGGCACCUUGAGAAGAAGGAUGGUACUUUUCCAUUGGAAGGAAAUCACCAACCCAAUGUGUUUGGUAAGCAGGUGAGAGGCAGCCCCCAAGAGGCCAAGGGCAGCCAGACCUGUCUGUCCUGGCAUCUUUCAUUGGGGGAAAAUCCUUGGAUGUAUGGAGCUCUUGAGAUGGAAUCCCAGAUUUGACCAUGGGCACCUGGUCAAGAUGAAUGGGGGUUUUUUUGUACUGGAAAAAAAGUGUGAAGUCCAAGUGUUCUGGAAGAAGAUGAGAUGUGGCCACCCUUAGGCCAAGCCAGUCAGACCUGUCUCUGCUGGCACCAUUUGUCUAGGGGCUACCCUUGGCCAUAGGGCACUUUGGAUGUGGAAUCUCAAUUUUGGCCGUGGGCACCUGGACAGGAAGAAGAGUUCUUUUCAUUACGAAGGAAAGCACAAAGCCCCAGUGUUUUAGAGGCAGAUGAGUAGCAGCCCUCAGGAAGCCAAGGCCAGCCACACUUGUCAGUCCUGGCAGCUUUUGUCUGGGAGUUAUCCUUGGAUAUAGGGAAUGCUGGAGGCAGAUGCCCAAUUUUAGCCAUGGGUGCCUGGUCGAGAUGGAUUUUUUUCCCAUAAGGAAAAAAAUCACAUGGUCCCAGUGUUUCAAAGGCAGAUGAGAGGUGGUUCCUGGAUGGCCAAGGCAGCCAGAGCUGUCACUCCUGGCAGAUUUCAUCUGGAAACAAUCUUUGCAUAUAAGGAAAUUUGGAGGAGGAAUCCCAGUUUUGACAAUGGGCCCCUGGAGGACAAGGAGAGUUCUCUACCAUAGGAAGGAAAGCCCAGAGCCCCAGUGCUUCAAGGACAGAUGAGAAAGCAGCCCUCGACAUGCCAAGGUCAGCUGGACCUGUCAAGUGAUCCCCAGGAGGCCCAGCCAGAUCUGUUCCCUGUUCCCUUGGUUUUGUGGGACCCCACAGUGUCCCAAUGGUCUCCUUGGCUCCCCUUCCUUCUGCAGUGUCACAAUGGCCCCGUGCUUCCAUGAGACCUUGCAAUGUCACAAUGGCUUCAUGCUCCCACAAAGCCCUGAUCUGUCACCAGGGCCCCUCGGCUCCAUGUGCCCUCACUGUGUCACAAUGCCUCCUCCAUGACACUGGGCUCCACAAAGUCACCAUGGACCCUUGGCUCCUUGGGGCCUCUGAGUUUCACAAUGGAGACAGUCCUGGAUUGCCAAGCAGAUUGUAUUCUCUUUGCCAUCUCUAUGGCAGUUGUCUUCUGUUAAGUGGGAAGUUUACCUUAUCUCUUCCACACCCACUCCUUCCUCAGGGCAGACAUCUGCUGAUAACAGGCUACUGAAUGUCACUGCAUGACUGAUAAGAACUACAGCAUCCCAUUAGGAACAGCUGCUGCCUCUUCCACUGGAUCUUCAGAGGAAGACUAUACCUUUCUACAGGAUCCCUGCUGCAGCAGAAGCACACCUGACACUCCAGGAGGACUGCAGCCACCAUUCCAAUUGGACUGCUACCAACACCCUGUGCAACAGGGUGUCAGGUUGUGUUCUGAUUCUGUCAGUGUUGUCUUGCUUUACUGCAUUGUUUAUUUUAUCUUUUUAUUUGUUUCCCUAAUAAAGAACUGUUAUUCCUGCUCCCAUA